AUUUUACAUUUAUUUUAACUAGAUUUUCCAAGCCAGAUGGCUAUGUUUGAGCAGAUACCUUCUACACCCACAGUUGUACUAUGAGAAACAAAAAUAAAACACUAAGCAUAUUAAAAUGUGUAAAUAUUUUCUCCUACUGAUUUUGUUAGCUGAGUAUGUCAUGUGUAUCUUGCUCCUGCUUUAGCCCAUCAGUUCUAUUCUCUUAAUUCACAUUUUACUUCAGAUUGGACAGAAUGCCUCUGAGGUGAAGAUAACUGAUCUCCCUGGACUCCCAGGUUACCCCAGUGAAGGAGUGCUUUUAUUACUUGACCAAGCUUAAAAAACACUGCUUGUUAAGCCUAAGAGAUCAUAAAACUGUCCUUUAAAAACCCAGAAAUAGGAUGCCCAUGUGCUAUACUAAUCUCUCUUGGAGAAGAAAUAGCAAACAGAAUAACUUUUUUCUUACAUAAAAAGUAUACUAGCUGCAGAAUCUUACAUGAUUAUUGACUCACUUGGAAGAGACAGCCAAUGAGGUGCUCUGUACAGAGGAGGUCUGUUAA
rnacentral:lncRNA from 1 species